rnacentral:rRNA from 1 species
CCGGAAUUACNUGGGCGUAAAGAGCNUCGUAGGUGGUUUGUCGCGUUGUUCGUGAAAUCUCACGGCUUAACUGUGAGCGUGCGGGCGAUACGGGCAGACUAGAGUACUGCAGGGGAGACUGGAAUUCCUGGUGUAGCGGUGGAAUGCGCAGAUAUCAGGAGGAACACCGGUGGCGAAGGCGGGUCUCUGGGCAGUAACUGACGCUGAGGAGCGAAAGCGUGGGGAGCGAACAGGAUUAGAUACCCUGGUAGUCCACGCCGUAAACGGUGGGUACUAGGUGUGGGUUUCCUUCCCUUGGGAUCCGUGCCGUAGCUAACGCAUUAAGUACCCCGCCCUGGGGAGUACGGCCG